rnacentral:rRNA from 1 species
CGGCGGCGUGCCUAACACAUAGCAAGUCGUGCGAGAAAGUUCCCUUCGGGGAGCGAGUAAAGCGGCGCACGGGUGAGUAACACGUAGGUAACCUGCCCCGUAGUCGGGAAUAACCCGGGGAAAACCCGGGCUAAUGCCGGAUGAGACCACGAUUGCUUCGGCAGUCGAGGCCAAAGGUCGGACUUCUACACGUAAGCUGUCGCUACGGGAUGGGCCUGCGGCCCAUUAGCUAGUUGGUAGGGUAACGGCCUACCAAGGCUGUGAUGGGUAGCUGGUCUGAGAGGAUGAUCCAGCCACACUGGGACUGAAACACGGCCCAAACUCCUACGGGAGGCAGCAGUAGGGGAUAUUCGCGCAUGUGGGAGCCCUCGACGCAGCGACGCCGCGUGGGUGAUGAAGGCCUUCGGGUCGUAAAGCCCUGUCGUAGGGGAAGAAGCGGUAGGCGGAUAAUACCCGCCUGCCUUGACGGUACCCUACAAGAAAGCACCGGCUAACUCCGUGCCAGCAGCCCGCGGGUAAUACGGAGGGUGCAGCGUUGUUCGGAAUUACUGGGCGUAAAGCGCGUGCAGGCGGCCGACUAAGUUCGGUGUGAAAGCCCGGGGCUCACCCCCGGAAGUGCGCUGGAAACUGGUCGGCUAGAGUACGGGAGAGGGAAGCGGAAUUCCUGGUGUAGCGGUGAAAUGCUUAGAUAUCAGGAGGAACACCGGCGGCGAAAGCGGCUUCCUGGACCGAUACUGACGCUUAUACCCGAAAAGCGUGGGGAGCAAACAGGAUUAGAUACCCUUGGUAGUUCCACGCUGUAAACGAUGGGUACUAGUUGUCGCGGUUUUUACCCCUNCGGUGCCCAAAUAACCNAUUAAGUACCCCGCNUGGGGAUUACCG